AUGUUUCAGGUGCACUGCAAAUUGAUUCAGUUAUACAUCUGUCUAUCUAGUCAUCGGCUACUUUUCCCCAUUCUUUUUCAUUGCAGCUUGUUACAAGAUACCGAAUCCAGGUCUCUGCCCUAUGCAGGAGGUCCUUGUUGUUUACCUGUUCGAGCCAGCUUGUUUGCCCGGAGGAAAGAAUUCAUUGAACAGCCACAGAUGACAUUCCAGAACAUCAGCCAACCACUUCCCAACAGGGUACCAUUGGGUCAUCACAAGGCCUGCCACCACCCCUGGCAGCGGGACUCCACAUACCUUCCCAUGGCAGAGCCCCUCAGGAACAACUAUGAAACAGACUUCAAGGGAAAUUUAUGGCUUCCGUUCUCUUUGAUUGAAACCAAAGAGAAAAAAUUUGGGGUCAAAAAGAGCCCUAUUCCCCUGUAGUGCUGCAAGGAGAUGUGUCUGUGGACAUUCUGCCCUGAUCAAGCUUCUUCAGCUUUCACUGGGCUGGCUCCUGCCCUCUUGCAGCAGGCAGCUUUAACUCUUCAGUCCAGGGGAAGUUGGCGUUCAGACCUCCCAAAGAUGCCCCCACAGGCAGCAGCCUUGUUAUGUGGAAAGCCCCUGAGAAGAGGUCCUUUCUUCCUCGCCACCCUUGAAGUGUGGUUUCACCAGUGUUUCUCAGCCUCUCGUGUACAAACAAGUUCCCAGGACCUUGCUGAGACGUGGAUUUGGGUUCACAAGUCUGCGUGGGGACUGCGUUUCUGUGUGGCUGACAAAUUCUUGGGUAAUGCCAAAGGCGCUGGUCCAGGGACCACAUUUUAAUGAGAAAGAACUACAGUCCCCAAAUCAGAGUUUUCCUCAGAUUUAUUAAGACCCCAAUUAGGGGCCAGUUCUUGUAAGAGUGGGUGCCCAAACUACCUUGAUGUAUUUGGGGUUCCUGUUCUAAUACAAGAUCCAGACCAUCCAGUUUCGCUGAACUUGGCCUCCUUGUGGGUUUGAUCCUUGGAUCAGGAAAAUCCCCUGGAGGAACGCAUGGUGAUCCACUCCAAUAUUGUUGUUUGGAAAAUCCCAUGGACAGAGGAGCCUGGCAGGCUACAGUCUGUAGAGUCACAAAGAGUCUGACAUGACUGCAGUGACGUAGCACACACAUAGCACAUGACUUCUUUGUGAGAUGGAGAGACUGGGCUGGCUGAAAUCUCUUGGGUCCGUCUCAGAGACCAAAUGUGGUACUCCUCUUCCUUUUGGAUACAGGACAAAUCCGGAAAGAUGCAGAAGAGCAUCUAUUCAAAUCAGCUGAUUUGACUCUCCUAUGAUUGAGGGCAGGAGGAGAAGGGGGAGACAGAGGAUGAGAUGGUAGGAUGGCAUCACUGACUCAAUGGACAUGAGUUUGAGCAAACUCUGGGAGAUAGUGAAGGACAGGGAAGCCUGGUGUGCUGCAGUCCAUGGGUUCAAAAAGAGUCAGACACGCCUUAAUGAAUGAACAGCAAUGAGUCCAAGGAUCAAAGUGAUUCAGUUGUAUUAGGAAAAAUGUGUAAUAGAAUUUGAACUGAUCAUCAGAAAUAGUUUAAUAUGCCAACUAGAAGUUCAAUGACUCAUCUACAAACAACUAGAGAUUCUGGCUGUAUAUCAUAAUUAUCAGAAAAUACAAUAUACUGAAUGUUUUGGAAUUCUCUAAGAAAGUAUGUUUUCAUUUCCUUUUGUUAUGUAGACAGCAUAACAAAUCCAGUUAGGUUUUCUCAGAUGAAACUGUGCUUGGUUUUCUGUUCUCUUAUACUUCUGAAACUUGUUGGUGUUUUAAUGGUUAUAUCUUAAUAGCAGUGUUUCUUUCAUGGAAACCUUUGAAUGGCAACUUGCUCUUUUCUGAGAUAUUUUAAAAGGAAAUUGUAUUUGAACGGUCUAAAAGAGAAUCCAGGGCUUUCUAGGGGAUUUUGUCACUUGGGUUUUCUUUACUUAUGAUCUCAUUGUCGAGGAUUGUAUAAGCUUCCAAGAAUCAAAGGGAUAGCAGUUUCUAAUAAGUCCAUGCAAACAUAAGAUUAUUUUCAUUUUUAUUUGUAUUAAAUACAUUCACUCCACUGGCACCAACCUCAUAGUGAAUCACAAUGAGUCUACUUGCCCUCCUCAAAAAUAGCAAUAGAAUUAUAACAAAAUCAGUUUCCUUUGGAAAAUGAGGUAGCCAGUUUUCCAAUAGUGCUUGCUUACCAUGGAAAAUUCCUUGAUUGUCAAUGAUAAACUAGUAUGUAAAAAAUGUGGGUGACAAUGGUGUCAUCCUCGCAUGGUGAGGGGCACGUGAGGUCACAACAGUUAUGGUCUUAAGAGUAGCACAUGGCGCAUACCAAUGUUCAGUAAGUAUUACAUAGUUCUAUUACUCUUGACUCUCAUCUCAUUGUAUCUAACAAACAACACUGAAGUAGCAUAAGCUCUCCCCAGCUUCUUCUGCACAUGUUGUUAUAUGUACAUAUAGAUAUGUCCUUUUAUAAAUGAUGGUUUCAAAUGCUGUAGAAAAAUCUGACAGUCCAGUAGAAGGAAACAACGCAAAUAUUCUCUGAAAGUCUAUAAUGACUAUAAUUUGAAUGUUCAAUUCAAACAGAUAACCAUUCUCAUGAUUCUCUGUUAAUAGAAUGUUGGUAUAGAUGAUCAUGAUUUAGAAAGAAACUGUUUUCCAAAUAAAAAAUUGUGGAGGAAAAAAAAAAAGAAACAAAAAACCUGAGCCUAUGAAACAGGUGCCAGCAAAUGUAUUUAUUUUCAUGAGAAAUGCAUGCGUGUUUUUCUAUCGGCUAUAUUAAUUAAAAUUAAACAUUCAUCUUGUCCUAUUGCAUCUCUGGUUGUGCUAUAAAGCACUAACACUGAACUGGUGUUUGCACAGAACAAAGAAAAAGGGAAACUUAGCAAAUAGUUGGUUUAGUGAAGUCAAUCCACCAUUCCAAAUCACCAGGGCCACACAUUCAGUCGGAUGGAUAGUUCUCACUUGCUGAGACCAUGAAGCUGUUCUUCUACGUUUUGUGCAAAUGUGAAGGGGGAUGCACAAGCAAAGUCUCCAUGAUUUUGUGGGGCUUUUCUGCAGUUUAUUUAUGCAAGGUGAAGCUCAGAAGAUUUUCCCUGUACAUGAACACUUCAAGAUGGUUAUCAGGUUUGCCAAAGAUGCCCCAAAGCCGUGGCAGAAUAACCUGGGGGUGACUCACCGACAACAGACAGGAGUAGCAUCCGAGGCAUAUGAUUAAGCCCCAGGACUCAACGGUUGGAUAUCUUGGGUUCAUACUCCAGCUCAACCCUUGCUGAACUACUUGACUUUGAGAGACUCACUCACCUCUCUGUGCCUCGUAUGAUGUGGUCAUCUUGGCAACAGGGAUCUUGGUACCUGAUGGCAAAGGCCAUUGUGGGAAGGAGCAAGAUCACGUACACAGGGUGACUAGAGCCCUGCCUUCUGCCCAGUGACCAAGACGCGCUAGUGGUGAUUAGAAAGUGAAUAAUGUUUCCUGUAACUGCCAUGGAGACUAUUAGUCAUAGAAUGCACUUUUAUGAGUAGCUUCCCAUUUGGCUAAAGCUGAUUAUGAACUUCUUACACUUUGAUUCUGUAAUCUUGGCAAACAUGUAGCUGAUCUGAAGCUUCUAAGUCAGGUUAAGAUCUCAGAUUCUAGAGGGAGCUUAGUAAUGGGUCAGGUACUAGCAGAAAGGGCUGGGAAGACCAGGACUUUUAGAUAAUUCCAGAUGUUUUGGUAUAAAAUAAUUCUUAAACUCUGGGUUUAACUUUGUCAACAUAACCUCAGUAGUAAGCAUGUGACCAACUGUUUUCAUCAGCUCUGGCUGUCAUAACAGAAUAGCCGCAGAAUAGGUGGCUUAAACAACAAGUUUUCUUAUAGUUCUGGAGGCUGCAAGUCCAAGGUGAAGGCGCUGGCAGAUUCAGUAUCUGGUGAGGACCCCCUUCCUGCCUUGUGGAUGGCUCUCUUCUCGCUGUGUACUCAAGCGACCUUUGAUUUAGGAUUGUCUUACAAAGAAAUCGCUGAUAUUUCUUAAUAAAAAUUGCUGAAAUUUUGAAAUGUGGUUCUAAUAGGCAUGCAAAUCAGAUAAAGAUCAGAGGCUAUUCUAAUUCGGGGAAAUUCCAGAUGCAGGCACACGUCAGAGAUAAUUUGGGCUCAGUGCCAGACCGCUGAAAUGAAGUGAAUAUCACAAUAAAGCAAGCCACAAAGUUUUCUGGUUUCCAAGUGCAUGUAAAACUCAUGGUUAUACUAUACUAUCAUUGAUUAAGUGUGCAGCAGCAUUAUGUCUGAAAAAACAAUGUACGUACCUUAAAAGUACUCUUGCUAGAGAUGCCAAAGCAAUUGCAACAGUAACAUCAAAGGUCAUCGAUCACAAAUCACCAUAGCAAAUAUAAGAAUUAUGGAAAACAUGGCAAAUAGUGCACGUAUUACCAAAAUGUGACCCAGAGACAGGAAGCAAGCAACCACUGUUGGAAAAAAUGGCAGCAAUGGACUUGCUCCACACAGGGUUGCUGCAUACCUCCAGUUUGCAAAAUACUUGGGUCUACAAAGCACAGUAAAGGAAGUGCCCUAAACAAGGUGUGGCUGGCCUGGACAGUACACACUGGGAGGGGUUGGGGUGCUGUUUCUGACCAUUGAUAAAGUCGUUUCCAAGGCUGCUUGGAGCAGAAGCUAUGGGAUCACAUGGCACGGGUGAUGGGAGUGACUGAGG
rnacentral:lncRNA from 1 species